GGAACAUUUUGCAGCAUGCUCACUUUCACUCUUCCCCACCACCCACCCCUAAAGUCCAAUCAGGGACAUGCUGGAGUUUAAAAAAAAAAAAAAGACAAACUGCAUUGGUUUGGUCGAACUUCAGGUGCUGAUUAUCUUUGUCAGUCCUGCUAUUCUUUUUUUCAGAGUACUUAAACUGCUGCUUUUUGCAUUCUGUUCUGUUUUUAUAACUAUGUUGAAUGGGGUGUCACUGUGUUUGACCAUACUACCACAGAGGAUGAAAAGAUUACUUAGAGAUGAGACUUGGUCCAAACAUCAAGAGGCCCAGAGGGACUGUCCCAAUGAGAGUGCCCAUCAUGAGGGAGUCUCAAGUCUGCACCUUGAGUUGCAGGUGUUGUAAUCCAUUUCUAGCACAGAUUAAACAGACAGAUGGACAGACAUGCACAAGACAAUUGCAUUUAAAUUAGAGUGCACUCUUAGAUGUAUUGGCUAUGGCAUCUUUAAGCCUUUUUCCUGAUAACUCUGUCCCAGUUAAGAAUAAUUUACUGACUUGACAUCUGUUGUCUUUAAAAAAACAAAACAAAACAAAACAGGUCCAAUUAGCAUAUAGAGUUUAGAGUGGGGUCCCCCCCAUCUCCUAGGGCAAUGAAGGUGAGCCUUUUAGAGCUUUCAAUGAUGCAAACAGUGGGUUGUGGCACAGGUUUGCCACCACUACUGUAGGGGGUCAGAGGUGGAAGGGGGCUUUCAAACGGAGCCAAGAGAGGAAGAAGAAGCUUUUUAGGGGGACCUCCUUUGUUUGAAUAGAUCAAAUAGAUGCCAGGUAGCAAGAUGUGCAAAUUCAGGACCCAGUGAUUGUCUUAGUUUUCGGCCUACAUGUUGCCAAUCUUCCACCUCCAGGCUACCCUCCAGGAGGAACCAGGGGCAUUAUUGCUGGAUAACAAUUAAGAGUUCAGUAAGCUGAGAUUCAGAAACUUUACACUCAGAUGUUUGUGAGAGUCAUUGGUUAAAUUGUUUUUCUCCUUUGAACAAAGUUUGACCCAUAUGGUAGGCAAAGCAGAAGAAAUGAAAGCAAAACAGCAAAAAGAAAAACAAGUGCACUGCCCCUACUCACUUAGCAGUUGAACAGUUAAAAGACCUCUGGGCUAAUAAACUGAAACUUCAACCUUACUGUAGAUAUGCCAGGGUACUCCGUGGCCACCUGUGUCCCCUGAGAAGUUGGACGUCCUUGUUCCUUUUCCAGGCUUUGGAAGGUCAGUCCUCCACAGUGAUCUGCAGCAGAUUGCCUUGCUGUUUGGCACCUCACAUGGGGCACCAUUGUCACAGCAACAGUGGGGUGCUGUAGUUUGGAUCUUAAAUGCCCCCCAAAGGACUGUUUGUCAGGAUGGUACUAACGGAAGAUGGUGGAAACCCUUAGAGACAUGAGGUGAAUGAGCCUCCUCCGCCACAUGCUUCUGCCAUGAUGUGCUGGCCACAGGGCCAAAACAAUGAGGUAAAUCAGUCAUAGGUGGAACUUGAGAAAGUAGGAGCCCAAAUAAACUUUUUAUAUUAAUUUGAUUUAUUUCAAGUUUAGUUACAGUUAUGGAAAGCUGACCAGUUUGGGAGAGAUGGUAGAAGUGGCUUACUUCAUUUUCCCUACAAUUGGAGCUCCACUGUUCAGAGAUCAACAUUGCUAAUAUAGUGAGUGGUACCUUGGUUCAUGAACUAUUCAUUCCAUGAUUCUGGAAAAGAUGGCUACGUUGGUGUUCAUUUGGGAAAGAUGGCCAUGGUUGUGUUUGUCACUUAUUGUAGAGUUACCUAAUAAAAACAAAAUUUUGCCAAAUGCUUUUGUUUCUGAACCAAAUUGUUCCCAAACAAAAGCAUUCGCAAACUGAGGUACCACUGUAUUUUGAU
ensembl:lncRNA